GAUGAACGCUGGCGGCGUGCUUAACACAUGCAAGUCGAACGAAGCACUUUAAUCGAUUUCUUCGGAUUGAAAUUUUAGUGACUGAGUGGCGGUCGGGUGAGUAACGCGUGGGUAACAUGCCUCACACAGGGGGAUAACAGUUGGAAACGGCUGCUAAUACCGCAUAGGAGCACAGUACCGCAUGGUACGGUGUGAAUAACUCCGGUGGUGUGAGAUGGACCCGCGUCUGAUUAGCGAGUGGGCAUGGCAGCGGCCUACCAAGGCGACGAUCAGUAGACGAGCUGAGAGGGGGACCGGCCACAUUGGGACUGAGACACGGCCCAAACUCCUACGGGAGGCAGAAGUGGGGAAUAUUGCACAAUGGGGGAAACCCUGAUGCAGCGACGCCGCGUGAGAGAAGAAGUAUUUCGGUAUGUAAAGCUCUAUCAGCAGGGAAGAAGAAAUGACGGUACCUGACUAAGAAGCACCGGCUAAAUACGUGCCAGCCGCCGCGGUAA
rnacentral:rRNA from 1 species